rnacentral:misc_RNA from 1 species
GAAAUGCGAUACGUAAUGUGAAUUGCAGAAUUCAGUGAAUCCUGCAUCAGUAAACACCUCAACUCCCUUUUCUUUUUUGAAAUGGGAGCUGGACUUGAGUGAUCCCAACACUUUUCUCACUGGAAAGUGGCGGGUCACUUGAAAUGCAGGUGCAGCUGGACUUUUCUCUGAGCUAUAAGCAUAUCUAUUUAGUCUGCCUAAAAAACAGAUUAUUACCUUUGCUGCAGCUAACAUAAAGGAGAUGAGUUCUUGUGCUGACUGAUGCAGGAUUCACAGAGACAGCUUUGCGGCUGACUUUGUAAACUCGAUCUCAAAUCAAGUAAGACUACCCGCUGAACUUAA